UCUCCUCUCAGCUCUCGCACCACCGUGACCCAGAAACCCUGAACCCGCCGAUCUCGUCUCUCAAUCCUUGUAUAUAUAUCUUUAGCGUGACGACACGCCAAUCCACGCCAAACACCGUAAUCGUCUCUCUCUCUGCGCCCGCUCUCUAUUGCGCCUAUCACCUCCUCGCAAUUUCUUGCUCCACGACUGAAAAACCUAGAACCCUAGAUACUCCUUUCAUCAACAACUCAAAUUCAAGGUUUAAACAAUUCAAUUUUAUCAUUCUUUUUGACAAUGGUUUUGAAUUUGCAAGUAAUUACUUCCAGAAUUAGUAAGCUAUCAGCCCUUCAGCUCCCCAUCCAUCCUCUGAGGCCUCUAAUUCGGAUGGAAUUUUAUUUCUGGACUUCUUUGGUUUUUCUUGGUAAUUUAAGGUAACUGAGCAUUGCAGGUGCAGAACUAUACAUUAUCUUAGAUAACAAUGGAUGAGAUUUUCUACAAUGCUUGAAGAAAAGAGAUUUAAACUUUUGCAGCUAUAAAUGUGUAAUGCGUUCUUCUCUCAGGUAUCUUUCACAGAAGUAAACUGAACAAUGCAACUGCAGCUGUAUAGCUUGAAAUGAUUCGGGGACUGGCAUCAUGGGUUUUGUGCGUUGUGGCAACAAGUUUGUAUUAGUCAAUUGAGUUGGGAGAACUGGCAACAAGUUUUUGUUAUGUUAUUAGUUUUGAAGUUACAAUUCGAGUGUAUUAGUUUGUAGGAUUUUUAUAUUAGACAUCAUGUAAAUGUAAAAUUUACCUCCAUUUGAAUUAUA
rnacentral:sRNA from 1 species